UUAAAUAGCUGCAGUAUUUAUAACUGUACAAAGGUAGCAUAAUAAUUAGUUUAUUAAUUAUAAACUUGUAUGAACGAUUUAAUGAAAUAAAUACUAUUUCAAUUUAAAAUAAUAAAAUUAUUAUUUAAGUAAAAAAACUUAAAUAAAUUUAAAAGACGAGAAGACCCUUUAGAAUUUUAUAUUUAAUUGGGGUGAUUAUAAAAUUUAAAAAACUUUUAUUUAAAUAAACAAAAAUUUUUGAAUAAAAUAUAAUUUUUAAAAAAAAUAAAAUAAAUUACCUAAGGGAUAACAGCAUAA
rnacentral:rRNA from 1 species